rnacentral:rRNA from 1 species
CGUAGGUAACCUGCCUCUUAGCGGGGGAUAACUAUUGGAAACGAUAGCUAAUACCGCAUAAAAGUCGAUAUCGCAUGAUGUUGACUUGAAAGGUGCAAUUGCAUCACUAAGAGAUGGACCUGCGUUGUAUUAGCUAGUUGGUGAGGUAACGGCUCACCAAGGCGACGAUACAUAGCCGACCUGAGAGGGUGAUCGGCCACACUGGGACUGAGACACGGCCCAGACUCCUACGGGAGGCAGCAUG